rnacentral:rRNA from 1 species
UAGGGAAUAUUGCGCAAUGGACGAAAGUCUGACGCAGCCACGCCGCGUGAGUGAGGAAGGCCUUCGGGUUGUAAAGCUCUGUCGCCUGGGAAAAACGGCUAUCCGGGGAAAGUUCGGGUAGCGUGAUGGUACCAGGAAAGGAAGCACCGGCAAACUCUGUGCCAGCAGCCGCGGUAAUACAGAGGGUGCAAGCGUUGUUCGGAAUUACUGGGCGUAAAGCGUGCGUAGUCGGUAUUGAGAGUCGCGGGUGAAAUCCCAGGGCUUAACCCUGGAACUGCCUGCGAGACCUCAGUACUAGAGUGUGAGAGGGGAUAGUGGAAUACCCAGUGUAGCGGUGAAAUGCGUAGAGAUUGGGUGGAACACCGGUGGCGAAGGCGGCUAUCUGGCUCACAACUGACGAUCAGGCACGAAAGCGUGGGGAGCAAACAGGAUUAGAUACCCGCGUAGUCCCUGAGCGGGCUGGCAAGGCGCAU